UGUGUGUUAUUAACUUUUUAUUUUGAAUUGAUUAUGGGUUGACAGGAAGUUACAAAAAAUGGUACAGAGGGGGCUCGUGUGCCCUUCACCCAGUUUCCCCCAAUGGUUACAUCUUACAUACUCAGAUGUGGUUUUAGAAAUUUAUGUUCGAUUAGAGCCGGGCCUGCCUCAUUCGCUGCCUGGUCAGGGGCAGACUCUGGAGUCUGGGGGAUUUGGGAGGAGCUUCUGGAAGAGAAGGGAAGCAGGAACCUCUGGGGAAUGGGUGAGAGAAGAUACCUUGAAAUGCCAGUGAGCCAAGGUAAGAAGACUGGAAGAAAAAGAGGUUGGAAAAAGGAAGUCUUGUUACAGGGAUCAGAGUGUUGGAAAUGGAGACAGCUGGCCUGUGGUGGUAGAGGUUGGGGAGUGGCUCAGGAAUUAAAUUCCCGAAUAGAGACCAGCGAUACCUAUUGGAUCAGCUUCAUACUUGCGGGAGCAGAGUAGGUAGAGCUUCUG
ensembl:lncRNA novel transcript, antisense to RNASE13